GGAGCAGCAGGUGAUCCCCCUUUGACCUUCCCUGUAUAGCAGCUAGUUGUGUGGUAGCAGCUUCUCUUGAGCAUGGACACCUCUUAUUAAUUGAAACAUGCAUAUCUGAGUUAAAACUGGAUCUGGCUACAGUGAUGGAGUAAAGCUAGAGCUAUGUUUUAACUGUGAGGAGUGUUCAGUACUGAAGUGCUAGCUGAACUGAUGCCACUCAGGAACUGUACUGAGGAGAGACGAGUUGAAAGGAUAAGCCAGAUUCUAAGGCUUCAAAUGGAAAAUACGCACCCAAAUUUAAAUUACAAAACCAGAAAAAAAGAGCUACCUAUAUUUUCACCAGAAAUGCUUCUAUGUAAAAUUCUGCUUCAGGGCCUGGCUAGUUAUUGCUGAAGUUUGAACAGAUAGACUCUUCAGCUUCCUUUACCUGCAUUCAGCUCAGGGUGUGAAGAAAGCCCCCUCCCAGCCCUUGUCACAAGGAGCAAGUAACAUAAAUUGCAUCAGCACUGACUGGAGCCAAGAAGGAAAUGUGGUCUGAUCUCAGAUGAGUGCCCUAACCAUUACACUAUAGAUUCUCUCUGGUCCAGUGAUUUUAAUUAUUCCAUUUGAAAGCCAAGCAGGAGGUAGAGAGAAUGCCUUGUGCCAAAGUUGGCAGGAGUAUGCUGUCUGCUGCACUUUGCCAUCGGGCUGCUUGCAGCCUCUCAAGCACGUGGGUGAUUGCAUUCCUUCUAUUCUCAGUUCUCUAAGUCUCCUCUUAUGGAGAAACCUUGAGCAUCUAAUUCUGUUCUUCAGAUGCAGAACGAACAUACUUGCUGGACUUGCUAUUCCAUAAGAUAAGAUCCCAUGUUUAAAAUAUCUCUACUCUUUACACAACUUGAGGUUUCCAUGGCCUGCACAGAAAGGUCAGGUAAUAUACCAACACUGUAGCGAGUGUGACUAUGAAGAGAAAAGGGAAAAACAGAGAAAAUGAAAGCAGUAGUAGUAAAGUCUCAACAUUACUCAACAUCAAACUAGCUAUAUAAACUUGCUGAUAUGUUUUGUUAUAUUUUUUUUUUUUUUAGCACUUGAGACUCCCAUGACGGCCAUCUGCUUCUGUUGCAUUUCCUGAAAGCUGUUUGUUCCAAGAAACACGAGUGUGAAUGACAGUUUUUACAUAUUUAUUCAAGGAAAUUAGUAGAAUAAGUAUAAUUAGUAGAAUAAGCAUAAUCCAUGUUCCCAAGCUUGUUGGAUAAGUGAUGCCAGAGAGCAAACUUAAAACACAGGACAGUUUACAGUUCUUUUAAUACAUGGCAGCAAAGACUCAUUAGAAUUCUUGCGCUGUUUCUGCUUUUCAAAUGUAUGUAAACUGUAAAAAUGGAUGAUAGACAAGCUUUACAUCUUGGGUAAUGUGUGAUUAAAUUAUAGCCAUUUAAACUAAAAUACAUGAAGAUUAUCACUUGGGGAUGUUGUUUGCUAAAAACGUCCUCUCUACUUUCAGAGCUAUCUGUGCUUAGUCUGAAAUGCAUAAUACGUUCAUGUCCUUUACCCAAAGCAUACAGUUCCUGCUGUAGAACACAAUAACCAGGAUGAUAGAUCGCAUAGGUGAGGAACCACAACCAGUUUGCAAAUAAAUAGAAGCAAUAGGAAUGUAUUUUCCAGAGAGACACGCAGUUCACAGCCCUUUGUCUGAAGGAGAUGGUGAAAGUUGGAAUGUCAAACAUGUCUCUUCCCCAAGAACUGGGAUUUCAACAGAAUAUAAAAUGUGUUUACAUAUUCGUCUGGAAAACCUCACAAAGAAUACUGCUGGAUCUUCAAAGCUGUGCUGUAACAAUUAUUCAAUCUAGAUAUUAGAGCAUUGUUUUGACAACUUUUCUUUUCUGCUGUGAAGCCAGACGAAGGAAGUGCUGUGUCACAAUUCAAAACUGAACUGAGAAAUACAGAUUAUCCUUCCAGUUUGUUUGAAAUCUGUGAGUGACAUGUAAGUAGAAUGUUUUAAUUAAGAGCUCUACCUUAGCAGUGCUAUUAACAAAUGCCACAUAAAGCAUUUAUGGAAAAUCAAAUUAAAGCUAUUACACUCUCUUAUCCAGAGAGCCCUCUCCUCAGCAAUUUCUAAUCCUUCCUCUUAUGGGCAUAAAAUUUUUACCUUUGCACACCUCUGGGUAGGUAGAGAUACACUGAGAUAAUGACAUUACAUCAAUUUUGGAUUAAAGUCUGUCCUUCCUUUGGACUGUCAUGUUUACAGCAUUUCCUACUUUUUAUCAUAGUUCACUUGGGGAACAAGGACAACUUCUGUUCUGAUCUAGGACUUCAUGCAUACCUUUGAGCCAGAUUGUGCACCUCCCUUCUGAGUUGAUCAUAACCCUGAAGAAAGAGCAAAAGCUACUACCUUGCACGAAAGUAUUUUUUUUUGCCUGUGUUUAUGGAGAUGAUUUGUAACCCAGUCAUUCUGACAGAGAUGUGAAGUAUUUCUGAUGGAUUUCCCACUUUCUGUAUGCUCUUCAGGCACACGUGGAUGUGUAUUUUUUACCAUACGAAUUUCUCAUGUUUGCACAAACACCUGAGACAUUCAGAUAACAUAUAAAUGACAAAUAACUGUAUCUAGGAGGACUAGGGUCUGAUUUUAACUUCUUUGUAGUUAUUCAUAUUUUCAAAAAACUAAAAUUCACUAUUCUAGCAGUAAGACUCUAUCUGAUUCUCCAUUUGCAUACUAAUGCACAAAAGUAUUUAAAUUCCUACAGAUAUCUGUUGCUGGCUUGAUGCAGCCCAGCUGCUCCCUGUUAAAAAUGGUGAUUAGAAAUUAAUAUAGCUAUCCCAUGCAUUCACAGCUUGAGAUUUGUAAUAUAUAAAGAACAAUCAUUCCUAAAGGGGCCUUGCUUGUGAAUGCUGUAUUUAAUUAAUGCCCAAGGGAAAGAGCAGAAGAGGAGGAGGAAAAACACUGCAGCUGAAUUUAUUCUGCAAUUGUAGCGACGUUAAACACUGCAUGCCAGAUUUAAUGGCAUGUAUUCAUCUAGCUAGCAGAGUGCCUUACUCAGAACAAAUGGUGCUGUCUGCCUUGAGGAGACGAGGAUUUUGAUAUGAAUUUAGGAGUGUGGAGUAGAUUUCCAUUUGAUUUUCUCUAUUGACUUAUGCCAGGUCUGCCAUCACAAACACCCAAGCUCCUCCACAUACACAGUUAGCUUUGUGCCUGGGAUAUAAAGUUUUUUUUUUUUUCACUUGUAGUGUGUCUUUAGCUUUGUGAUGAGGAGGAAGCCAUACAGCAGCAAUCUGUGUGAGUCGUACCAGUCAUUUAAGUUGAGACUGACACUUUCUUUUAGUGCCUGGCUGCUACUAGUAUGUGUAAGAAGGUGCCUGCAACAGCUACAGAAAGAUCAAACGCACUAAAGUAAAAGACUGGAAUCCUCAUGUGCAUCCUGAAGAAAUGGCUCUGCAUUAAAAGCAAAGAUUUGAAUAUUGCUGCAGAGAUUAAAAAUGUUAAAAAAUAUACAUAUAAAACACCAACAAAAUGCUAACGUACCAUAUAAAUUUUUAUUGGUACAUUAGAAAGCACUUUCAUGAACAUCAAAGAUUACCCACUGAGAUAAUCCCAAAACAGGCUCUGCUUGGACUAGAAUUUGCAAUGGAAAGAACACAAGAAGACCACAGUAAGAUCAGGUCAGAUCCAACCUGCCCAGAUGCAUCUGCAGUUUGGUAAACCAGAAGUGAAGCUCCAGAUAAAAUUGGUAGGUGUUCAGAAAUAACAUCUUGUGUCCACUGCCUCUUUGUCCUAGCCCUAGACAUGUCCAAAAAGAGCUGCAUCUGUUUUCUUUCCAUUCACCUUUCAGAUAUUUGUACAUAUUGAUAAGAUCCUCCCUACUGUUGUUGGUUUUUUUUGUUGUUGUUGCUCAUUAUUUUUUCAAAGCUUGUCUGCUAAUUGAGACUUAAACAGAACACUAAUCACAAAGGUUCUUUCAUCUGAGCAAGAGCAUAUUUUAUUGAAGUAUGUUAUAAUUAUGAGCAUACAGGCCCAAAUAUGUAUUUCUGAUCACACUGGUAAAAACUUCUCUCCAUAAACAAGGAGAGAUAAUGUCCAUACAGCUAUUGCAGCAAUAAUAUUUCAAUAUAUAGAUACAAAAAGAGUAGCAUAUGUUAAACAUCA